rnacentral:rRNA from 1 species
AGGUUAAGUGAAUAAGGGCGCACGGUGGAUGCCUUGGCACUAGGAGCCGAUGAAGGACGGGACUAACACCGAUAUGCUUUGGGGAGCUGUAAGUAAGCUAUGAUCCAGAGAUUUCCGAAUGGGGGAACCCAGCAUCUUUUAUAGGAUGUUACGUCUGCGUGAAUACAUAGCGCAGUCGAGGUAGACGCAGAGAACUGAAACAUCUAAGUACCUGCAGGAAGAGAAAGAAAAUUCGAUUCCCUGAGUAGCGGCGAGCGAAACGGGAAAAGCCCAAACCAACAAGCUUGCUUGUUGGGGUUGUAGGACUCCGAUAUGGUAGUCUAUUCAGAUAGUCGAAAUACUUGGAAAAGUAUGUCAAAGAGGGUAAAAACCCCGUAGGCGAAAUUUGGAUAACACCUAGGAGGAUCCUGAGUACGGCGGAACACGAGGAAUUCCGUCGGAAUCCGGGAGGACCAUCUCCCAAGGCUAAAUACUCCCUAGUGACCGAUAGUGAACCAGUACCGUGAGGGAAAGGUGAAAAGCACCCCGGAAGGGGAGUGAAAUAGAUCCUGAAACCGUGUGCCUACAACAAGUUAGAGCCCGUUAAUGGGUGAUAGCGUGCCUUUUGUAGAAUGAACCGGCGAGUUACGAUAGCAUGCGAGGUUAAGUUGAAGAGACGGAGCCGUAGCGAAAGCGAGUCUGAAUAGGGCGAAUGAGUAUGUUGUCGUAGACCCGAAACCAUGUGAUCUACCCAUGUCCAGGUUGAAGGUGCGGUAAAACGCACUGGAGGACCGAACCCACGUACGUUGAAAAGUGCGGGGAUGAGGUGUGGGUAGCGGAGAAAUUCCAAACGAACUUGGAGAUAGCUGGUUCUCUCCGAAAUAGCUUUAGGGCUAGCCUCGGAAUUGAGAAUGAUGGAGGUAGAGCACUGUUUGGACUAGGGGCCCAUCUCGGGUUACCGAAUUCAGAUAAACUCCGAAUGCCAUUCAUUCAUAUCCGGGAGUCAGACUGUGAGUGAUAAGAUCCAUAGUCGAAAGGGAAACAGCCCAGACCACCAGCUAAGGUCCCCAAAUAACUAUUAAGUGGAAAAGGAUGUGGGGUUGCACAGACAACUAGGAUGUUGGCUUAGAAGCAGCCACCAUUUAAAGAGUGCGUAAUAGCUCACUAGUCGAGUGACCCUGCGCCGAAAAUGUACCGGGGCUAAAUAGUUUACCGAAGCUGUGGAGUGCACCAUCAGGUGCAUUGGUAGGAGAGCGUUCUAAGGGCGUUGAAGGCAGAUCGUGAGGACUGCUGGAGCGCUUAGAAGUGAGAAUGCCGGUAUGAGUAGCGAAAGACAGGUGAGAAUCCUGUCCACCGAAUGACUAAGGUUUCCUGGGGAAGGCUCGUCCGCCCAGGGUUAGUCGGGACCUAAGCCGAGGCCGACAGGCGUAGGCGAUGGACAACAGGUUGAUAUUCCUGUACCCGUUGUUUUUGUUUGAGCAAUGGAGGGACGCAGGAGGCUAAGAAGUGCAGACUGAUGGAUAUGUCUGUUCAAGCAGUAAGUCUUGGUAGGAGUCAAAUGCUUCUACCUAUACGGACAAGCUGUGAUGAGGAGGGAAAUAAUAGUACCGAAGCUUCUGAUGUCACACUGCCAAGAAAAGCUUCUAGUGAGAAAACAACGGCCCGUACCGCAAACCGACACAGGUAGUCGAGGAGAGAAUCCUAAGGUGAGCGAGAGAACUCUCGUUAAGGAACUCGGCAAAAUGACCCCGUAACUUCGGGAGAAGGGGUGCUGCUCUAACGAGCAGCCGCAGUGAAUAGGCCCAAGCGAC